GACGAACGCUGGCGGCGUGCUUAACACAUGCAAGUCGAACGAAGAGCGAUGGAAGCUUGCUUCUAUCAAUCUUAGUGGCGAACGGGUGAGUAACGCGUAAUCAACCUGCCCUUCAGAGGGGGACAACAGUUGGAAACGACUGCUAAUACCGCAUACGAUCUGACCUCGGCAUCGAGGAUGGAUGAAAGGUGGCCUCUAUUUAUAAGCUAUCACUGAAGGAGGGGAUUGCGUCUGAUUAGCUAGUUGGAGGGGUAACGGCCCACCAAGGCGAUGAUCAGUAGCCGGUCUGAGAGGAUGAACGGCCACAUUGGGACUGAGACACGGCCCAGACUCCUACGGGAGGCAGCAGUGGGGAAUCUUCCGCAAUGGACGAAAGUCUGACGGAGCAACGCCGCGUGAGUGAUGACGGCCUUCGGGUUGUAAAGCUCUGUUAAUCGGGACGAAAGGCCUUCUUGCGAAUAGUUAGAAGGAUUGACGGUACCGGAAUAGAAAGCCACGGCUAACUACGUGC
rnacentral:rRNA from 3 species